rnacentral:rRNA from 1 species
AAAAUCCGGGCCUCAUGACGCCUGAGACGUGAUACGGACCCGCUUCAGGGGAAGUCACUGAUCCUAUGCUGCCGAGAAAAGCCCAGCGGUGAGUUCAUGUGGUGCCCGUACCCCAAACCAACACAGGUGGACAGGUAGAGAAUACCAAGGCGAUUGAGAUAACUCUGGUUAAGGAACUCGGCAAAAUGCCUCCGUAACUUCGGGAGAAGGAGGACCUAAUCAGGGUGAUGGCACUUGCUGUCGGAGCCCGAAGAGGUGGCACCAAAUUGUGGGAAGCGACUGUUUACUAAAAACACAGCAGCGUGCGAAGCCGUAAGGCGCUGUAUACGCUGUGACGCCUGCCCGGUGCUGGAGGGUUACGGGGAAGGGUUAGUCUUCGGACGAAGCUCUGAACCUAAGCCCCAGUAAACGGCGGCCGUAACUAUAACGGUCCUAAGGUAGCGAAAUUCCUUGUCGGGUAAGUUCCGACCUGCACGAAUGGCGUAACGACUUCCCAACUGUCUCAACCAGAGACUCAGCGAAAUUGAAGUACGAGUAAAGAUGCUCGUUAGCUGCAGAAGGACGGAAAGACCCCGUGGACCUUUACUAUAACUUGAUGUUGGGGUUUGUCAUGCGUUGUGUAGGAUAGGUGGGAGACUAGGAAGCAUUGGCGCCAGCCAGUGUGGAGUCGCCCUUGAAAUACCACCCUGCGUAUGGCGAGCCUCUAACCCAGACCCGUUAUCCGGGUCGGGGACAGCGUCAGGCGGGUAGUUUGACUGGGGCGGUCGCCUCCUAAAAUGUAACGGAGGCGCCCAAAGGUUCCCUCAGCCUGGUUGGCAAUCAGGCGUCGAGUGCAAUGGCAAAAGGGAGCUUGACUGCGAGACUGACAGGUCGAGCAGGAGCGAAAGCUGGGCAUAGUGAUCCGGCGGUUGCGUGUGGAAGCGCCGUCGCUCAACGGAUAAAAGGUACCCCGGGGAUAACAGGCUAAUCUUCCCCAAGAGUCCAUAUCGACGGGAAGGUUUGGCACCUCGAUGUCGGCUCAUCGCAUCCUGGGGCUGAAGCAGGUCCCAAGGGUUGGGCUGUUCGCCCAUUAAAGCGGUACGCGAGCUGGGUUUAGAACGUCGUGAGACAGUUCGGUCCCUAUCCUCUGUAGCCGUGGGUAGAUUGAGGAAAGCUAUCCCUAGUACGAGAGGACCGGGAUGGACGUAGCUCUCGUGUGCCAGUUGUCCUGCCAAGGGCAUGGCUGGUUAGCGACCUACGGAAGA